UACAGAGGUCUCGAGCGUUGUUCGGAUUCAUUGGGCGUAAAGGGUGCGUAGGCGGCGGGGUAAGUCUGAUGUGAAAUCCCGGGGCUCAACCCUGGAAUUGCAUUGAAUACUGGAGGACUAGAGUACCGGAGAGGAAACUGGAAUUUACGGUGUAGCAGUGAAAUGCGUAGAGAUCGUAAGGAAGACCAGUGGCGAAGGCGAGUUUCUGGACGGUAACUGACGCUGAGGCACGAAGGCCAGGGGAGCAAACGGG
rnacentral:rRNA from 1 species